UACGGAGGGGGCUAGCGUUGUUCGGAAUUACUGGGCGUAAAGCGUGUGUAGGCGGGAGUUUAAGUGCAAUGCGAAAUCUUGUGGCUCAACCAUAUAGACUGUAUUGCAUACUGGACACCUUGAGGAUGGCAGAGGCAAGUGGAAUUUGUAGUGUAGCAGUGAAAUGCGUAGAUAUUACAAGGGACACCAAUGGCGAAGGCAGCUUGCUGGGCCAUAUCUGACGCUGAGACACGAAAGCGUGGGGAGCGAACAGG
rnacentral:rRNA from 1 species